rnacentral:rRNA from 1 species
GUGGGGAAUCUUAGACAAUGGGCGCAAGCCUGAUCUAGCCAUGCCGCGUGAGCGAUGAAGGCCUUAGGGUUGUAAAGCUCUUUCAGCUGGGAAGAUAAUGACGGUACCAGCAGAAGAAGCCCCGGCUAACUCCGUGCCAGCAGCCGCGGUAAUACGGAGGGGGCUAGCGUUGUUCGGAAUUACUGGGCGUAAAGCGCACGUAGGCGGAUCAGAAAGUCAGAGGUGAAAUCCCAGGGCUCAACCUUGGAACUGACUUUGAAACUCCUGAUCUUGAGGUCGAGAGAGGUGAGUGGAAUUCCGAGUGUAGAGGUGAAAUUCGUAGAUAUUCGGAGGAACACCAGUGGCGAAGGCGGCUCACUGGCUCGAUACUGACGCUGAGGUGCGAAAGCGUGGGGAGCAAACAGGAUUAGAAACCCCGGUAGUCC